rnacentral:rRNA from 1 species
CCGAAUUUUCCGCAAUGGGCGAAAGCCUGACGGAGCAACGCCGCGUGAGGGAUGAAGGCCUCUGGGCUGUAAACCUCUUUUAUCAAGGAAGAAGAUCUGACGGUACUUGAUGAAUAAGCCACGGCUAAUUCCGUGCCAGCAGCCGCGGUAAUACGGGAGUGGCAAGCGUUAUCCGGAAUUAUUGGGCGUAAAGCGUCCGCAGGCGGCCCUUCAAGUCUGCUGUUAAAAAGUGGAGCUUAACUCCAUCAUGGCAGUGGAAACUGUUGGGCUUGAGUGUGGUAGGGGCAGAGGGAAUUCCCGGUGUAGCGGUGAAAUGCGUAGAUAUCGGGAAGAACACCAGUGGCGAAGGCGCUCUGCUGGGCCAUCACUGACGCUCAUGGACGAAAGCCAGGGGAGCGAAAGGGAUUAGAUACCCCUGUAGUCCUGGCCGUAAACGAUGAACACUAGGUGUCGGGGGAAUCGACCCCCUCGGUGUCGUAGCCAACGCGUUAAGUGUUCCGCCUGGGGAGUACGCACGCAAGUGUG